UACGUAGGGUCCGAGCGUUGUCCGGAAUUAUUGGGCAUAAAGGGCUCGUAGGCGGUCUGUUGCGUCGGGAGUGAAAACUUACAGCUUAACUGUGAGCGUGCUUUCGAUACGGGCAGACUUGAGGCAUUCAGGGGAGAACGGAAUUCCUGGUGUAGCGGUGAAAUGCGCAGAUAUCAGGAGGAACACCAGUGGCGAAGGCGGUUCUCUGGGAAUGUCCUGACGCUGAGGAGCGAAAGUGUGGGGAGCGAACAGG
rnacentral:rRNA from 1 species